CUAUUACAGUUUCUUCUACUAUGAAUAAAGAUGAAAAGAUGAUGAAAUAAGGCCUUCAUGUUCUUCCUACUUUUAUGUAUUCAGUGUAUUCAGUGUUGAUGGCAACAUUGUAAUCUUGUGUGCAUUUUUGUUUUUAAGAUUGUUUUAGUUGCAUCCUGCAUUUCUGUUCCUGCGUGUGUUAAUUCGGCAUGCCGAGCUGAUCACUCCAAACGUGGUGGGAUGGCACGAGUUUGGUGAAUCUUGUGUUUAAUUCGGCAUGCUUUGUAUGUAAAAUCUCCAGCUUUGGAGAAUAGUAAAAAAAAGAGAAAAAAAACAGAAAAUGCUGCAGCUUCACGCAGCACAAAAACUUC
rnacentral:sRNA from 1 species